CGUUACUUAGUUCAGAACUUGGACUCGCGGUACUUGGAAGAAACAGAGUUCGAUCGCUGCAGGGUUAAAAGAUCUCGAAACUACAAAUUGUGACGCAGAGCGUUUUAGACUAGAACGAACAGAAUGCGCGUAUUGUACACAGGCAGAGAUAUCGGCUCUCCACGAUUCGAUUGCAGGAUCCGCGACGCGGAAAACGCGUGGCAGAGAACAAUCAGAUCUGUCGCCGAGAGCGAGAGAAACCAGAGCGUCUCGAAUAACCAAUACGAGGAGAAACCGCAACGCGACGCUGCGACGAAGAAAAGACAACACACCGUCGACCUGGCUAGACGAUGGUCUGCCACGGAUCAAGUGGCGGAGACCAAUCAACGGAUUUCUACUGAUCCGGUGCGCACGACUGGCGACCCAUCGCGAUUAUAACGCAUCGCGUGCAACCCGCGUUCACCGUCGCCAGCCCCCCGAUUAUACCUGUGUGCCAGACUACGCGGACUACAGGUUGUUUCAGAGGUCGAACAGAGGAUUCCUCCAAUACACGACGAUGGAAUUGUUAAUAAUUUCCCAAGUGAAAUUUUCUGUUUGUUGAGAGUACCAAUUUUCUGAGAAACUGUCCCCUCCUCUUUUUGCAAACCAACAUAAUGCGACUCUUUGUAAAUCUAUCUAGCCGAAAUCUUUGUAAAUCUAUCAAAGAUGCCUGUCUAAUAAAAUAAGGUACAAAUAA